CUGAAAUACAGAGAGUCCAGCAUACAUUCUACCAGGCCACACAGCGAGUGCUGACAGAGCCAGGAGCGCUUUAUGAAAUCCAGACUGUCAGGCUAAUGUUCUAUCAGCUAGACCUCCAUGUGAGUCUCAUGACACAUAGGUAUGUCCUCAGACAUGCGCUACAUUCCUG
rnacentral:lncRNA from 1 species